AGAGUUUGAUCCUGGCUCAGGAUGAACGCUGGCGGUCUGCUUAACACAUGCAAGUCGAACGGGCUCUUUCGGGAGCUAGUGGCGGACGGGUGAGUAACGCGUGAGAAUCUGGCUACAGGAUGGGGACAACAGUUGGGAACGGCUGCUAAUACCCGAUGUGCCGAGAGGUGAAAGAUUUAUCGCCUGUAGAUGAGCUCGCGUCAGAUUAGCUAGUUGGUGGGGUAAGGGCCUACCAAGGCGAUGAUCUGUAGCUGGUCUGAGAGGAUGAUCAGCCACACUGGGACUGAGACACGGCCCAGACUCCUACGGGAGGCAGCAGUGGGGAAUUUUCCGCAAUGGGGGCAACCCUGACGGAGCAAGACCGCGUGAGGGAUGAAGGUCUGUGGAUUGUAAACCUCUUUUGAUAGGGAAGAAGUUCUGACGGUACCUAUCGAAUCAGCAUCGGCUAACUCCGUGCCAGCAGCCGCGGUAAUACGGAGGAUGCAAGCGUUAUCCGGAAUUAUUGGGCGUAAAGCGUCCGCAGGUGGUUAAUCGAGUCUAUUGUCAAAGUGCGAGGCUAAACUUCGUAAAGGCAGUGGAAACUGAUUGACUAGAGUUUGGUAGGGGUAGAGGGAAUUCCCAGUGUAGCGGUGAAAUGCGUAGAUAUUGGGAAGAACACCGGUGGCGAAAGCGCUCUACUGGGCCUGAACUGACACUGAGGGACGAGAGCUAGGGGAGCGAAAGGGAUUAGAUACCCCUGUAGUCCUAGCUGUAAACGAUGGAUACUAGGUGUUGCCCGUAUCGACCCGGGCAGUGCCGUA
rnacentral:rRNA from 1 species